UACGGGGGGGGCAAGCGUUGUUCGGAAUUACUGGGCGUAAAGGGCUCGUAGGCGGCCAACUAAGUCAGACGUGAAAUCCCUCGGCUUAACCGGGGAACUGCGUCUGAUACUGGAUGGCUUGAAUCCGGGAGAGGGAUGCGGAAUUCCAGGUGUAGCGGUGAAAUGCGUAGAUAUCUGGAGGAACACCUGAGGCGAAGGCGGGCUACUGGGCCGAUACUGACGCUGAUGCGCGAAAGCCAGGGGAGCGAACGGG
rnacentral:rRNA from 1 species